rnacentral:rRNA from 1 species
UACGGAAGGGGGCUAGCGUUGCUCGGAAUUACUGGGCGUAAAGCGCACGUAGGCGGAUUGUUAAGUCGGGGGUGAAAUCCUGGAGCUCAACUCCAGAACUGCCUUCGAUACUGGCGAUCUCGAGUUCGGGAGAGGUGAGUGGAACUGCGAGUGUAGAGGUGAAAUUCGUAGAUAUUCGCAAGAACACCAGUGGCGAAGGCGGCUCACUGGCCCGAUACUGACGCUGAGGUGCGAAAGCGUGGGGAGCAAACAGG